CCGCGCGCCUUCGCGCCCCGCCGCCGCCGUCCAACUUUUCUGUACAUUUCGCGUCAUCUAAACGGGGGAGAAAACUGGCAUCCUAUGCAAAUAUAUGCUGACGUAAAAGAUCAUGUGUUCCUCGUCGUCGCCCCCCCCCCCUAUGAGCGAGAGGAGGUGGUUCUCCUCCGGUUGUCUUUAGGUCGGCAAUGCCAGGAUCCGUACUGUACCCGCCGCACCGCACCGCACCGACCCUGGCCCGGGAGUAGGAGCCGUCUAGCCGCAGAGCCGCCGCAGACACGCCGCUCACAAGGUCCAGUCCGUUACCCAGAGUGCAUUGGGGCGAGAGUUCCUCACAGGAGAGGGCUGGGAUUGGUGGAGCAGGCGUCAGUGGAGCCCCUCCAGGGACGUACAGUUUGGUUUGAAAAAAUCUGGAGAUUUUCUUUGUGGGCCAAAUGGCCCCGCCCUGCACGUCAUCUGGAAGCCAAGCUGCUGUCCACGCCGUCACAUCCUGUAGCUUGGCCGUAGCCGUUGCUAAGAGUUAGCACAGUGUUGGCUAACACCUAGCAUACUCUUGGCAAAGUGUUAAGCUGCUGGUGUGCUCCGGAGGCCUCGUGCACCACCUGCAGUGUUGCAUGCUGGGAAACCUCCCUGCUGUUUCACGGAG
ensembl:lncRNA